rnacentral:lncRNA from 1 species
GUUAUGGUCAGUCUAGCUGUAUGGAGGAGGAGGUACUGCUCUGUUUCAGCUGUUAUGGUCAGUCUAGCUGUAUGGAGAAGGAGGUACUGCUCUGUUUCAGCUGUUAUGGUCAGUCUAGCUGUAUGGAGGAGGAGGUACUGCUCUGUUUCAGCUGUUAUGGUCAGUCUAGCUGUAUGGAGGAGGUACUGCUCUGUUUCAGCUGUUAUGGUCAGUCUAGCUGUAUGGAGGAGGUACUGCUCUGUUUCAGCUGUUAUGGUCAGUCUAGCUGUAUGGAGGAGGAGGUACUGCUCUGUUUCAGCUGUUAUG